UCUGAAAUAGAAUUCAGACAAGCACACAAUUAUGUCCUAUUUAACUGUGAUGAGCUAAGACCUUUUAUUAAGCAACAUCAACGAUACUUAUUGUCCAAUAACUCACAGCUGACUGAAUCCCAGAUCUUUCAAUUACAAGAUAAAUAAUUUACCACAUGGUUUAGAACACAUGUUUAUCAAAUGGGAGGUAGUGCUACUAUUUCACUAUCUUUACUAAGCCUGGGACUUGAAAGAAAAGUCAAGUGCUAUAAAAGGU